GUCGGGUCAAAAUUCGGCAUGGAGAUGGUCCUUGAGAACCGUGUCGGUCGAGCGCGGCGAAGGCGGCCGCGGCGUCAGCGGUGGCUUAGCUUUGAACGGAGCAAUUAGUGUGACGCAACUGGAGCCGACUGGCAAGCUGAGGUGAAGAAAGUAAGUUGAAUACGAGGCGAGCUCCUUCUGCCUCGGUCCGGUCGCAAGUCUUGUCCUGCAAGCCCGUAACUCCUUUCUGCGAGACACCCGCGAGACCCGCGAGCAGGAUCGCUGGAACCAGCGCCGCGCCUUCUUCGCCGUUGCAGUCCCGAUCGCUGUCUCUGGCGCUGUGUCGCGUCCCCCUGCCGCCUGCCGCCUGCCGCCCGCCGCCCUGCCUCCCGCCGAGCACCGUCGCGCCGCGCUCCGCCUGAGCAGCCACCGACCGGUUGGUGAGUAAAACCUGAGGCACCUCGGAUACUUCCAACACGGCGCUCCCCCGUCAGUUUGUUUUCACUCCGAGUGACUCGGAUUUCGCCCCGCGCUCACGUGUCUUAUCACCGCACUUGUCGCUCCGCUUGUUCUUGUACCCGUCAACUUUUCGGCAGUGUCGUGUGUUUACUUUGCUUUCGCCAAAAAACGGAUACUAAGGAAUACUUUCCGCUUGAGGUCAAUCCCUUAAACUCGAUUCAUGAGUACCUUCCUAACGACUCAGACCCAUCAUCCUAUUCGAAAAGAUGA
rnacentral:lncRNA from 1 species